rnacentral:rRNA from 1 species
GUCCCAGCCGUAAACGAUGGAUACUAGGUGUCGGGGGUAUCGACCCCUCCGGUGCCGCAGCUAACGCAUUAAGUAUCCCGCCUGGGGAGUACGGCCGCAAGGUUGAAACUCAAAGGAAUUGACGGGGGCCCGCACAAGCGGUGGAGCAUGUUGUUUAAUACGUCACUAACCGUAGAACCUUACCAGGGCUUGACAUCCGUCGACAUCCCAUGAAAGUGGGCUUUCCCCGCAAGGGGACGGCGAGACAGGUGUUGCAUGGCUGUCGU